rnacentral:rRNA from 1 species
UUGACCUCGGAUCAGGUAGGACUACCCGCUGAACUUAAGCAUAUCAAUAAGCGGAGGAAAAGAAACCAACAGGGAUUGCCCCAGUAACGGCGAGUGAAGCGGCAACAGCUCAGAUUUGGAAUCUGGCCCCCAGGGCCCGAGUUGUAAUCUGGAGAGGAUGCUUCUGGCGCGGCGCCUUCCGAGUUCCCUGGAACGGGACGCCGGAGAGGGUGAGAGCCCCGUACGGUUGGACGCCUAGCCUUUGUGAAGCUCCUUCGACGAGUCGAGUAGUUUGGGAAUGCUGCUCAAAAUGGGAGGUAAAUUUCUUCUAAAGCUAAAUACCGGCCAGAGACCGAUAGCGCACAAGUAGAGUGAUCGAAAGAUGAAAAGCACUUUGAAAAGAGGGUCAAACAGUACGUGAAAUUGUUGAAAGGGAAGCGCCCGUGGCCAGACUUGUGCCCCGCGGACCACCCGGCGCCCUCAGCGCCGGUGCACUCCUCGGGGCGCAGGCCAGCAUCGGUUUUCCUAGGGGGAUAAAGGCGGCGGGAACGUGGCUCCCUCGGGAGUGUUAUAGCCCGCCGCGCCAUGCCCCUGGGGGGACCGAGGACCGCGCUUCGGCAAGGAUGCUGGCGUAAUGGCCACCGGCGAC